rnacentral:rRNA from 1 species
UACGUAGGGGGCUAGCGUUGUCCGGAUUUAUUGGGCGUAAAGAGCGUGUAGGCGGCCAGGUAGGUCUGCUGUGAGAACUCGAGGCUCAACCUCGAGACGUCGGCGGAAACCAUCUGGCUAGAGUCCGGAAGAGGAGAGUGGAAUUCUCGGUGUAGCGGUGAAAAUGCGUAGAUAUCGAGAGGAACACCUGCGGCGAAGGCGGGUAGCUGGGCCGACACUGACGCUGAGGCGCGAAAGCCCAGGGGGAGCGAACGGG